CAAGUACUCCCUCCAUCCGGAAUUACUUGUCAUCAAAAUGGAUGUGUCUAGAACUAAAAUACAUCUAGAUACAUCCAUUUCAAUGACAAGUAUUUUCGGACGGAGGGAGUACAAG
rfam:Triticum aestivum genome assembly, contig: Triticum_aestivum_CS42_TGACv1_scaffold_020563_1AS